UAUAUAACACUUCCACAUGCUUAUUUCACUUCAUUAUUUUUUGCAUUCCAGUUGGUCUUUGUUUCGUUCUCAGAUAGUUAUCAGCAUAGAGAAAGUAAAAUUCCGUUCUUGGCUCUCUUUUUUGUUACUGUAGCAUCUGCUUAUCUGUUAGUGUAAAUUUGCGUUAUGUUGGAUUUUUCAAUUUGAUUCUCCAAUAUAUUUUUUUGAUGACAAACUGUUCUAAUCAGUAAUUCCCCACUCUGAGAACUUGAGACCUUCGACUGAUAUGCAUUUCUGAGAUUUUCUGGUAUACUCACAGACCCCUGAGAUUUUUGUGUCUCCACAGUUCUCCAGCCAAUGACAGACCCCUGGUUGCCAUACUUUCGUUGCACGCAGAUCUUCUGUCCAGUCGUGCAGAAGACAUCUCCAUUAACCGGUAACAGAUGAAAUCGUUUGCUGUCGAGGUUCCCGUGAAGAAGAGCGAAAAUGCUGCAAGUGGAGGAUAGAUAACAGCUCAAGACACAUGGUAUGAGGGUGCAGGGUAAACUGUACAUAUGCAUCUGGAAAAAGUAAAAAGUUAAGGCUGUUUGGUUGUAGCUUCUCCUUCUCACCACAACAGAAAAUACUUUUGAACUGCAUUAAGCUGUUAAAAAAUUAAGCUUAAGCUAUAUUUUACUUAUCAAAAAUGGGUUACCUGUCACUUUUACAAAGUUUUUUGGUAAAUUAGAUAUAUAGUUUAAUUCGAAGAGUUGUAUUGACCUUUACUUAUGUUAAAUUAUAUAGUUUAAUUA